UGUGUCUUUGGUGUUCCUCAGGGCAUCGUCAUCGGGACCGGAGAGAACUCUGAGUUUGGGGAGGUGUUCAAGAUGAUGCAGGCAGAAGAGGCUCCAAAGACGCCGCUCCAGAAGAGCAUGGACCUGCUGGGGAAGCAGCUCUCGCUCUAUUCCUUCGGCAUCAUAGGUGUCAUCAUGCUGGUGGGCUGGCUGCAGGGGAAGAGGAUCCUGGACAUGUUCACCAUCGGUGUCAGGU